ACUCCUGUGGGAGGCAGCAGUGGGGAAUUUUGGACAAUGGGGGCAACCCUGAUCCAGCAAUGCCGCGUGAGUGAAGAAGGCCUUCGGGUUGUAAAGCUCUUUUGUCAGGGAAGAAACGGUAGUAGCGAAUAACUAUUACUAAUGACGGUACCUGAAGAAUAAGCACCGGCUAACUACGUGCCAGCAGCCGCGGUAAUACGUAGGGUGCAAGCGUUAAUCGGAAUUACUGGGCGUAAAGCGUGCGCAGGCGGUUGUGUAAGUCAGAUGUGAAAUCCCCGGGCUCAACCUGGGAAUUGCAUUUGAGACUGCACGGCUAGAGUGUGUCAGAGGGGGGUAGAAUUCCACGUGUAGCAGUGAAAUGCGUAGAUAUGUGGAGGAAUACCGAUGGCGAAGGCAGCCCCCUGGGAUAACACUGACGCUCAUGCACGAAAGCGUGGGGAGCAAACAGGAUUAGAAACCCCAGUAGUCCCAUG
rnacentral:rRNA from 1 species